rnacentral:lncRNA from 15 species
UCUCAAGUGAUGAACAUGUCAAGCCUAAUGGAUAAAUUGCCGUACACAAAUAUUCUAAUAUUUUACUGUUUUACAUUUCUCUGCAGAGGUCAGGGUAAGCUGUAACACUGUUUUAUCUUGUGAUGUUACUUUCAAGAGAGCAUAAGGGGACAUUUUGAAUAGAUUGGAGUCAUUAACUUAUUUAUAUGAGGUAUAAAUAAAACAGGGACUAUAAUCGUCUUCAUAUUCGUCUUUAGAUGAGCUCUUAGACUGUGGUUGAAGUGCUGCUGGGACAUUAACUGUUGCAUAGUCACAAUCAUCGUCAGUGAUUCUCUGGGAGUGUUGUGGUCAGUCCUUAAAAGGAUGUACAGAGAAGAUUCACAACUUCCUGUUGGGCUGCUUACGAAGGUGAUUCCCCACUACCCUGAAGUGACAAGUUUACUUAAUAACCUUUAGAACUAUGUGUCUCAGGUUUUGUAAUAAGGAUGACCUAUGUCUACAUAAAUAAGCGUUUCUGUAAAGGGUAUAUUGCAGAACUAAAUUGCAAAGAUAAAACACAGUAUGCAAUUUUCAUGUGUGUACAUCAGGCAGUGUGUGAUUUCAUGACACACUGAAAUACACAGAUGUGGCGGAUUGUUUUCGAAUGUAUGUAGAAGGCCAGGAAGUGGUAAGAAAAAUGAGGGCAUGCAGAAGAUAUAGUUUUAGAUUAUCUCUAAGGUCUCAAGUGAUGAACAAGUUAAGCCUAAUGGAUAGACUGCCAUACACAAAACUUCUGAUAUUUUUCUGUUUUACAUUUGUCUGCAGAGGUCAAGUUGACAGACAUACAACUUUCAAGAUUGGGAGUGAUGCUGAUCUCACAUGCAGUGAUAAGACAGUAAAUGAGACAAUAUAUGUUAUCUGGAAGAUAGACUUGAAAUACAAAGACUGUGAGAUAUCUUUUAGCAAUGAUGGCCAAAGUUUAGAUUCCUGCAAUGAUGGCAAGUCCCUGCAAAGCACAUCCAGUGAUGAAUUCUACCUGCACAUCCCAAACUUCUCAAAUGAUGACGUGGGGAUCUACAAGUGUGAUACAGCUUACAAGGGAGGAGGUGAAACUUACAAGAUCGACGUGUCUAUCACAGUUCCUCCCACUAUAUCAGCCUGGUUAGAGCGUAAGGACAACAUGGUGGUGGCAGUGUGCAAAGCUGAAAGAGGAAAACCUGCAGCCAGCAUCACCUGGAGUCAUAUGGAAAACUUGACGGCUGGGGAGCCAGUGAUUGACUCAAAAGGAUUUUUUACAGUCGAAAGUCGUCUGGAGUUCCUUGAGGGAAUGAAUCCAGAAAACCUGAGCUGUGUUAUCAGGCACCCGUACUGGAGAGAGGAACAGAUUUUUGUACCAAAACACAGAAAAGCAGGUUAU